AGGACGAACGCUGGCGGCGUGCCUAACACAUGCAAGUCGAACGAAGCACUGUUAACGGAGAUUCGUCGAAGUUAACUUUGACUUAGUGGCGGACGGGUGAGUAAUGUAUGAGCAACCUGCCUUUCAGAGGGGGGACAACAGUUGGAAACGACUGCUAAUACCGCAUAAUGUAUCGAGGGGGCAUCCUCUUGAUACCAAAGGAGCAAUCCGCUGAAAGAUGGGCUCAUAUCUGAUUAGCUAGUUGGUGAGGUAACGGCUCACCAAGGCUUCGAUCAGUAGCCGGACUGAGAGGUCGAACGGCCACAUUGGGACUGAGACACGGCCCAGACUCCUACGGGAGGCAGCAGUGGGGAAUAUUGCGCAAUGGGGGAAACCCUGACGCAGCAACGCCGCGUGAAGGAAGAAGGCCUUCGGGUUGUAAACUUCUUUUACCAGGGACGAAGAACGUGACGGUACCUGGAGAAAAAGCAACGGCUAACUACGUG
rnacentral:rRNA from 1 species